CAGAAAUAGAACUGAAAACACUGAAUGAGAAACCAGUGUGAAACUAUAUGAAGAUUAACAGAAGAGACCCCACCUGCAUGAUGCACCUAGUCGCAGUUUUUUCCUCCAGUAGUCAACCACCAGCUCUUUUUGUCUUGCUGACAUUAAGAAGGAGGUGAUUUUUACCCGACCACUCCACAAAAUUCCCCGACAGCUCCCUAUACUCCAACUCCUGCUCACCCUUAACCCGCCCAUUCACUAUAGUGACAUCAGAGAACUUCUGCAGGUGGCAUGAUUCACUGUUGCACUGAAAAUCUGAGGUGUACAAAGUGAACAUGAAUGGAGACUGGACCGUCCCCUGUGGUGCCCAAGUAUUACUAACCACCACAUCACACAUGGUGCCUAACAUCUAUAGAAACUGAGGCCUCUCUGAUAAUGGAUGGCGCAAUGUAGAGGAAUAAAAGUAUUGUAUAAAGCAGCAGUAAAUGGAAAAGGCUGCAUUUAUACAUGUCAGAAAGCUUCUAGUCCUCCUCAGUCUGUUCAGUGGUGUGAAAGCAGAAAGUAAAAACAUACUCAAAUAUCAUACAAAAAACAUACCAAAGAAAGGCAAAUAAAUGAUAUUUUAUUAGGUCAAAGUAUAUUUCAGUGUGGAUGAUAGAAAAUGGAUAGGUUUUUUCAGAAAACAGCUAAAAUCAGAUGAAGGUGAUAUAGUACAUUAGCAACAGAAGCUUCAUCCCAUACAUUUGAAUUCAUGUGCACUGUUUCGGUGUGAUGCUGCUGUGACUGAGCUUUUUGAGUGACAGCAAAAGAUCAUACCACAAUCUAAAGAAGCUGAAGAAAAUACUUUUUAAAUAUUUUAUUUAUGUAAUUAUGCGCAAUAAAGAUUAAUUUUUAUAUUAUACUGUUUAUUUCCUCUUAUUUUGGAGCACAAAGCUGUUUCAUUUCAUUAACCAUACAGCUAAAGUCACAUCAGUUGAAAGAACUUGUUAUUACAUUAAAAAAAGCAACUGA